rnacentral:lncRNA from 1 species
GUGAUGUUGGCCUCAUAGAAUGAAUUUGGAAGAGCUCCCUCUUUUUCUAUUUCCUGAAAUAAUUUGAAAAGUAUUGGUAUUAAUUCUUCUUUAAAGGGUUUGUAAAACUCCACUCUGUACCCAUCCGGUCCUGGGCUUUUCUUGGUUGGUAGUCUUUUGAUUGCUUCUUCUAUUUCAUCCAUUGAUAUUGGUCUGUUCAAAUUGUGUGUAUCCUCCUGACUCAGUCUGGGCAAAUCAUGUGACUUAAAAAAUUUAUCAAUGUUUUCACUAUCUUCUAUUUUAUUGGAACAUAGGGUUUCAAAAUAAUUUCUAAUUGCCUUCUGUAUUUCUGUAGCAUCUGUUGUGAUAUUGCCUUUUUCAUUCCAUAUGUUAGUAAUUUGAGUUCUGUCUCUUCUUCUCUUCGUUACCAUGGCUAAGGGUCUGUCGAUCUUAUUUAUUUUUUCGAAGAACCAACUUUUGGUUUUGUCAAUUUUUUCAGUAGUUUCUUUUGUUUCAAUUUCGUUGAUUUCUGCUCUUAUUUUAAUUAUUUCUUGC